CCCCUCUCAGGGUCGCACCUGGAGAGUUUCCAGUACUCUACCAGUCUUGACUACAGGAGGCAGAGUCAAGUAGAGACACACCCAUUCCAUUCCUAGCUGGGCCAGUGGCUGGUGAGUGGAAGGCAAUCAGAUACAAGU